UUUCAAUUGGCUUUUCAUUGGAACUUCUGUUUUCGUGCUCCUUACUUCACUGGCAGGCUACUUACAAACGCAGCUAUGGAAGGAUUCCUUGGCUGAAAACGACUGCACUGAUGGUGAGAUGGAACCAAACUUCCACUCAAGAAUGCAUUUUGAGCUUCUUUCCGGCGACCUGCUGUGAUGGCUACGUGUUUGCCUUAAACUGUUCAUUUUGGCGUAGCGAUGAGGGCUGUGGUGGCCAACUUACAGUGACAAAAAGAAAAAGUGAAUGGUGCCCCCCGUCGCACAAACAACAGCUUCUGUUUACUUCUUCACCACGUCUCUCCCCAUCUGUCUGCAGACUACAAGAUUAUUAAGAUUACUACAGUUUCACUCACAAAUCCCAAACCCCAAACUUCUGAACCCAAACAGUGCCCUUUUCUUUUCACACUUCAAAAUCAAAUACUAUUAGUGCUUAGAAGAAAACAUCUCGGACGAUGGAGUAUGAACAAAUUAGGGCUCUUCUCCGGAACCCAGAAAGCCAUUCAGAGAGGAAUCAAAUCAAAGAUCCAAACCUUCUAUCUGUCUGUCACGCGCGUGCGCACUCACACAAAACUCUCCCAUGGACAGACACUCGUACAACUCCCUAAUCAAAUUUGCAGACAAACAUCUUCUGCUAUAUCUGCCUAUUUGCAGGUAUAUAUAUAUAUUUUUACUGUUCUUCCCAUCUUCAACCCUAACUAGAUAUUUUCGAGAUUAGAGGUUCAAAUCCAAUCAUUAUAAAAGAAAUAGUUAGAUUCGUUCGAUUAGACCCUAAUUUAUUUUCCAAGAAUGAAUUAUGAUUCAUUCUUCUUCCAUUACCUAGAUUUUUACAACUCAUUGACCCCAUAAGUUAUAUUAUCACUGGAUUUUUUUUUUUUUUUUUUUGAAGCAGCUGGUUGCAUAUACUUUCUAUAUUUUUAUUUUUUCCUUUUCUCUCUCUUUCUGAUCUUUUUUAUUUUCAAAGUGUAAACUGAGAAGAAAGCAGAAGGUUGCGUGCAGCUACAAAGAAAGGCUUCACAUUUCUGCAAUCUGGUGAAGAAGAUGAGACAUGACCGAUGAACAAAGUAAAGUCAUCAAUAUAUAUAUAUAUGUGUAUAUAUAAUAACACAAUGGACAAGAAAGAAAGAGCCCUAAAUAAGCUCUACCUAGCCAAUGUUCGUCAAAGGGUCUAGAUUAAUUUCUCUGUUUAGCCUUUUUCUUACCUAUGGGGAUAAUAUAUAUAUAUAAUAAUAUAAAAAAUAGAGCUACAUAAACUUACCUCUGUUGUGUGAUCUAGGUCAUUUCCUUUUCCUUAGAAUCAAUUAAAAACAACAAAAAAAGGAAGUCCCUUUUACCUUUCCAGAGAGAGAGAGAGAGAGAGAGAGAGAGAGAGAUAAAACCCUUCUUCCUUUGCCUUUGAUAAACCAACGUUAUGAGUCACAGAGCUGUGCAAAGCUGUGAUGGAGCUGAAGCAAAACCCUAGGUGGAGCAAGAAGAUGAAGAGAGAAAGAGAGAGAUAGAGAAAUUUAGGGUUGCAUUGAGUGGAGGAAAGAUGGGAAAGAGUAUAUUUAGUGGAUGGGAAGAAGCAGCAGGGAGAGGAGAAUGGAGGCAAAAGACAAGGAUAAUAAUAAAUGGUGGGUACACUAACUAAAGAAUGACUAUGACCCUGCAUCCAAUAAUAUUAUCAGAUAUGUGGGAUUGUCUCCCUUUUUUUAUUCCUCUUUCUUUUAUUCUCAUGCACUCCAUUACACUCAUAGCUCUACCAUUUUAUGUGUAUUUUCAGUACUCCUAUACAUUCCCCUCUCUUCAUAUCUAUCCUCAAUUCAUAAACAUACCCUCUCUUCGACCAAAAAUGAAUGUUUAUACAGCGUUUCGAGUACGAGUGAGAGUGAAAAUACUCCAACUUUACCUGAAUUUUAGGUUAAGACUGAGUUUUUAGUUAUAAUAUCACAUGCCCCUUGUUUGUGUUUAUAUGAUCAUCCAUCAUGAAAUUGUAACUGGGUUUUGAAUUUUCUCCUUGGCUUGGCGUGAUUAUUGUAAACAGUCCCACGCAAUCGACAUUGUUCAUUGGAUUCAGGAGAAACUACUUCAUUUAUCGUUGUGUCAGUUCAAGUAGAAUUCGACUAGUUAAGACAUUUAUGCUCGAUUAAGAGAUUAGAAGUACAAAUCUUCACCAUUUUGGUGUUGUUAAGGAAAUGAAGAUCAUGUUAGAAUUAGGUUAGGGUUUUAGGGCGAUGUGGGUAUCCAGGCGGGCUCUCCUGGAAAAGUGUAGUAGAGGGAGGUGGGUUUGUAGAACUGAUGAGUGAGAGUGGCAGAGGCUGUGGGGUCUCUUUUAUUUUUCUUUCUUUCUAAUGUUCACUUCAAUAUUGAAAAAUAUAUGUGGAUGGGUUAGGGUUACUUCCUUU